GUAGGUGGCAAGCGUUGUCCGGAAUUAUUGGGCGUAAAGCGCGCGCAGGCGGUUCUUUAAGUCUGAUGUGAAAGCCCACGGCUCAACCGUGGAGGGUCAUUGGAAACUGGAGAACUUGAGUACAGAAGAGGAAAGCGGAAUUCCACGUGUAGCGGUGAAAUGCGUAGAGAUGUGGAGGAACACCAGUGGCGAAGGCGGCUUUCUGGUCUGUAACUGACGCUGAGGCGCGAAAGCGUGGGGAGCAAACAGGAUAGAUACCCUGGUAGUCCACGCCGUAAACGAUGAGUGCUAAGUGUUAGGGGGGUUUCCGCCCCCCUUAGUGCUGCAGCUAACGCAUUAAGCACUCCGCCUGGGAUACGGCCGCAAGGCUG
rnacentral:rRNA from 1 species